CGACCCCAGGUCAGGCGGGAUUACCCGCUGUGUUUAAGCAUAUCAAUAAGUGGAGGAAAAGAAACUUACUAGGAUUCCCCUAGUAACGGCGAGAGAAUCGGGAAAAGCCUAGCUUGAGAAUCGAGCGCCACCGACGUUCGAAUUGUAGUCUGGAGAAGCGUCCUCAGUGGCGG
rfam:Gossypium arboreum cultivar AKA8401 contig_340292_1, whole genome shotgun sequence.